rnacentral:rRNA from 1 species
GUCCAGACUCCUACGGGAGGCAGCAGUGGGGAAUAUUGCACAAUGGGGGGAACCCUGAUGCAGCGACGCCGCGUGAGUGAAGAAGUCAUUCGUGAUGUAAAGCUCUAUCAGCAGGGAAGAAAAUGACGGUACCUGACUAAGAAGCCCCGGCUAACUACGUGCCAGCAGCCGCGGUAAUACGUAGGGGGCAAGCGUUAUCCGGAUUUACUGGGUGUAAAGGGAGCGUAGACGGCAGCGCAAGUCCGAAGUGAAAGCCCGGGGCCCAACCCCGGGACUGCUUUGGAAACUGUAUAACUGGAGUGCAGGAGAGGUAAGUGGAAUUCCUAGUGUAGCGGUGAAAUGCGUAGAUAUUAGGAGGAACACCAGUGGCGAAGGCGGCUUACUGGACUGUAACUGACGUUGAGGCUCGAAAGCGUGGGGAGCAAACAGGAUUAGAUACCCCGGUA